CAUGCGUCCAAGGUUCCCUCUGUUACUUGACUUUCCUUGGAGCGACACAGACAUCGCUUUGUCGAGUUCCUGGGUUUUACUCUCAGACUUUCGCGGCACUCGUGAGAGGAGCUGAAAGUUACCUUUUCGUUGAACAAGACAUGGAGGAGGAAGAGAGGGAACGGACUCUAACGGAGACACGGGAGGAAGUUCGACAACUCCAGUGUCUCUGCCUCGUUCUUCUCCUCGCGUGUCUCGUUCUCUUUCAGGGACAAGGCGACGGGGAUGAACGGUUUACCCAGUUUACUCCAGAGAGAAGUCCCUUUCUCGAUUCACACGUGCAACGACAAAGUCUGCUCCGGCGGUUCCAGCAUGCAGAACUUUGGUAGAGACGCCGAACUGGGCGUUUCCCCGUGCAUGCGUUGACAAAUGCGCGCGUACCAACAGGAGUGUGACCGCAGGGGUAUUCAAAUAUAGACUUCCACACGUAUAGUGCUCUCGUCUAUGAAAGGGACUACCCUACUUAACUUACAUGCAAACGUGGUUGCUCAAAAAUAUAUGCAUGUAUAAUAUGAAAUGGUUC
rnacentral:lncRNA from 1 species